AGACACCUCAGGGGGACCUGGUUGUGGCAUCUGCCACCUCACUGACAGCCUGAGUUGAUCGGGCUGACCUGGCUGGAGAGGUGGGUGUCCCCUUCCUCCCUGUGGCUCUGUGUGUGUCCCCUGAAGCCAUGUGUUCCAUCGAGGAGGAGGGCCACUCCCGACAGGAGAAGGCUGGGAUCCCGGUAAGAAUGAACUGCUGAGCUCCCUGAAGAACCGAAAACACAAGAUCCGCAGGGUAGCUGGCCCUGGGGGA
rnacentral:sRNA from 1 species